rnacentral:misc_RNA from 1 species
UUGUUUCCAGAUGGUUCGUAG